rfam:Trichobilharzia regenti genome assembly, scaffold: TRE_scaffold0005433
AUCCAGCUGGCGAGUUCCAAAUAGGACGAAAUGCGCAUCAAGCUGGAU